GCUAGUGUGGUGCAGUGGUUUGGGCAUUGGACUAUGACUCUGGAGAUCAGGGUUCAAAUCCCAGCUUGAUCA
rnacentral:tRNA from 1 species